GGGGAUGAUGAUAACUCCCUGGAUUGAGAUAUGAUGACGACCGGUAGCUGACCC
rnacentral:snoRNA from 1 species